rnacentral:rRNA from 1 species
AUUGAACGCUGGCGGCAGGCCUAACACAUGCAAGUCGAGCGGAUGAAGGGAGCUUGCUCCUGGAUUCAGCGGCGGACGGUUGAGUAAUGCCUAGGAAUCUGCCUGGUAUUGGGGGAUAACGUCCUGAAACGGGCUCUAAUACCGCAUACGUCCUUAGGUCGCAUUUGGGUGAUCUUCGGACCUCACGCUAUCAUAUUAGCCUAGGUCGGAUUAGCUAGUUGGUGGGGUAAAGGCCUACCAAGGCGACGAUCCGUAACUGGUCUGAGAGGGUGAUCAGUCACACGGGAACUGAGACAGGGCAGAGACUCAGAGGGGAGGCAGCAGUGGGGAAUAUUGGAGAAUGGGCGAAAGCGGGAUAUAGCAAAGCCGGGUGUGGGAAGAAGGUGCUAGGAUGGUAAAGCACUUAAAGUUGGGAGGAAGGGAAGUAAGUUAACACCUGGCGGUAUUGACGGUACCAACAGAAUAAGCUCCGGCUAACUUCGUG